UGUACCGGAAGGAGCAGUGGAGGGAUAAGAAGAGAGAAUGCCGGAAUGAGUAGCGAGAGGAAGGUGGGAAUCCUUCCGGCCGAAUAUCUAAGGUUUCCAGAGUAAAGCUGAUCUGCUCUGGGUAAGUCGGGGCCUAAGGAGAGGUCGAAAGACGUAUCCGAUGGACAACAGGUUUAGAUUCCUGUACCACAUAUAAACAGAACUGUGGGGACGCAUGUGGAAAGCAUAAGCCGGGAAUGGAAAUACCGGUACAAACGGAAGAGGUGUCAGGCUGGCAAAUCCGCCUGGCAAGCCAAAGACGUGAUGUGGAGCGAAAUAAAAGUAGCGAAGUAUGUGAGCCAUGUGCCGAGAAAAGCCGCUAUUGUUUUAUAUGUGCCCGUACCGUAAACCGACACAGGUGGAUGAGGAGAGAAUCCUAAGGCCGACGGAAGAAGCAUUGUUAAGGAACUCGGCAAAAUGACCCCGUAACUUCGGGAGAAGGGGUGCCCACUUCAGGGUGGGCCGCAGAGAAUAGGCUCAAGCAACUGUUUAGCAAAAACACAGGUCUAUGCGAAACCGUAAGGUGAAGUAUAUGGGCUGACGCCUGCCCGGUGCUGGAAGGUUAAGAGGAGAGGUUAGUCGCAAGAUGAAGCUUUGAAUUUAAGCCCCAGUAAACGGCGGCCGUAACGAUAACGGUCCUAAGGUAGCGAAAUUCCUUGUCGGGUAAGUUCCGACCCGCACGAAAGGCGUAAUGAUUUGAGCACUGUCUCGACAAUGCAUCCGGUGAAAUUGAAGUACCAGUGAAGAUGCUGGUUACCCGCGCCAGGACGGAAAGACCCCAUGGAGCUUUACUCCAGUUUGGUACUGGGAUUCGGUACUGCAUGUACAGGAUAGGUGGGAGACUGAGAAAUUGGAACGCCAGUUUCAAUGGAGUCACUGUUGGGAUACCACCCCUGCAGUAUUGGGUUUCUAACCAGCCGCUGUGAUCCAGCGGUGGGACAAUGCCAGGCGGGGAGUUUGACUGGGGCGGUCGCCUCCGAAAGGGUAUCGGAGGCGCUCAAAGGUUCCCUCAGAAUGGUCGGAAACCAUUUGAAGAGUGCAAAGGCAGAAGGGAGCUUGACUGCGACACCGACGGGUGGAGCAGGUACGAAGGUAGGACUUAGUGAUCCGGUGGCAUAAAGUGGGAUUGCCAUCGCUCAACGGAUAAAAGCUACCCUGGGAUAACAGGCUUAUCACUCCCAAGAGUUCACAUCGACGGAGUGGUUUGGCACCUCGAUGUCGGCUCAUCGCAUCCUGGGGCUGUAGCAGGUCCCAAGGGUUGGGCUGUUCGCCCAUUAAAGCGGUACGCGAGCUGGGUUCAGAACGUCGUGAGACAGUUCGGUCCCUAUCCUGCGCGGGCGGAGGAUAUUUGAGAGGAGCUGUCCUUAGUACGAGAGGACCGGGAUGGACGGACCACUGGUGUAUCUGCUGUCGACCAACGGCAUGGCAGAGUAGCCAAGUCCGGAAGGGAUAAACGCUGAAGGCAUCUAAGCGUGAAGCCCCCCUCAAGAUGAGAUAUCCCUUCCAUAAGGAAGUAAGAUCCCUUGAAGAGUACAAGGUAGAUAGGGCAGAGGUGGAAGCACGGUAACGUGUGGAGCUGACUGUUACUAAUCGAUCGAGGGCUUGACCG
rnacentral:rRNA from 1 species